CUAUGUAUUAGUAAUUGGAAUGAGAACAAUUUAAACCCCUUAUCGAGUAACCAUCAGAGGGCAAGUCUGGUGCCAGCAGCCGCGGUAAUUCCAGCUCUGAUAGCGUAUAUUAAAGUUGUUGCAGUUAAAAAAGCUCGUAGUUGGAUAUUAGGAUCUACUUGUAUGGUCGGUUGUGAUAAACAAUCUUGUGCUGUAUAAGUGAUUCUUUCCUACUGGUUACUCGACUCUGUCCUUUACUGGAUGGAGUAGUGUCGCAAGACAUCGCUUGAUGUUAUAUUGCCUGUAAGUGUAGUUAUUGGGUAAAACUGGUGGUGAAACUUAUAGGAUCACAGUAUGAUAUUAAGUGGGGUUCCAGUUCAUUUACUUUGAGUAAAUUAGAGUGUUCAAAGCAGCCUCUUGGGGCAUUGAAUAGAUUAGCAUGGGAUAAUAGAAUAGGACUCUUGUCUAUUUAUUGGUUUAUAGAUUUAGAGUAAUGAUUAAUAGGGAUAGUUGGGGG
rnacentral:rRNA from 1 species